CAGGAAAAGCCUCUAAGCUUCAGAUAGUCAGGAAUCGUACCCCAAACCGACACAGGUGGUCGGGUAGAGAAUACCAAGGCGCUUGAGAGAACUCGGGUGAAGGAACUAGGCAAAAUGGUACCGUAACUUCGGGAGAAGGUACGCUCUUGAUGGUGAAGUCCCUCGCGGAUGGAGCUGACGAGAGUCGCAGAUACCAGGUGGCUGCAACUGUUUAU
rnacentral:rRNA from 1 species